UGCAGAAUCCCGUGAACCAUCGAGUCUUUGAACGCAAGUUGCGCCCGAGGGACCCUCCCNAGGGCACGCCUGCCUCAUGGGCGUUAGAAGCCCAUUCACGCUUGGUUGCCUCACAGCAAAGAUGCGGACAUUGGCCCUCCGAACCUCGAGGUGCGGUGGGCCUAAGUGUGCGGNCGUUGUACGUGGCCGGGAGCGGCGAGUGGUGGGCUACUGCGCACGUCACCCCGAGCCCCGUACCGACACAGGGCCUUUUUUGACCCCUAACGAGGAGCUUGCCGUUGCGGNUUGCGCUGCGCGGUGCCUUCGGACCGAUACCCCAGGUCAGGCGGGGCUACCCGCUGAGUUUAAGCAUAUAAAUAAGCGGAGGAGAAGAAACUUACAAGGAUUCCCCUAGUAACGGCGAGCGAACCGGGAGCAGCCCAGCCUUAGAAUCGCGGUGGCACUGCCGCCCGA
rnacentral:rRNA from 1 species